rnacentral:tRNA from 1 species
GGACCAUGGUGUAGGGGUAAGCGUGGUUGCCUCUCACCCAGUUGGCUUGGGUUCGAUCCCAGUCGGUCCC